rnacentral:rRNA from 2 species
UACAGAGGUCUCAAGCGUUGUUCGGAAUCACUGGGCGUAAAGGGUGCGUAGGUGGCGUGGCAAGUCAGAUGUGAAAGCCCGGAGCUCAACUUCGGAACUGCAUCCGAUACUGCCAUGCUAGAGCACUGAAGAGGUGACCGGAAUUCUCGGUGUAGCAGUGAAAUGCGUAGAUAUCGAGAGGAACACCAAAGGCGAAGGCAGGUCACUGGGCAGUUGCUGACACUGAGGCACGAAGGCCAGGGUAGCGAACGGG